CGAACGCUGGCGGCGUGCCUAAUACAUGCAAGUAGAACGCUGAAGAGAGGAGCUUGCUCUUCUUGGAUGAGUUGCGAACGGGUGAGUAACGCGUAGGUAACCUGCCUUGUGGCGGGGGAUAACUAUUGGAAACGAUAGCUAAUACCGCAUAACAAUGGAUGACACAUGUCAUUUAUUUGAAAGGGGCAAUUGCUCCACUACAAGAUGGACCUGCGUUGUAUUAGCUAGUAGGUGAGGUAACGGCUCACCUAGGCGACGAUACAUAGCCGACCUGAGAGGGUGAUCGGCCACACUGGGACUGAGACACGGCCCAGACUCCUACGGGAGGCAGCAGUAGGGAAUCUUCGGCAAUGGGGGCAACCCUGACCGAGCAACGCCGCGUGAGUGAAGAAGGUUUUCGGAUCGUAAAGCUCUGUUGUAAGUCAAGAACGAGUGUGAGAGUGGAAAGUUCACACUGUGACGGUAGCUUACCAGAAAGGGACGGCUAACUACGUGCCAGCAGCCGCGGUAAUACGUAGGUCCCGAGCGUUGUCCGGAUUUAUUGGGCGUAAAGCGAGCGCAGGCGGUUUGAUAAGUCUGAAGUUAAAGGCUGUGGCUCAACCAUAGUUCGCUUUGGAAACUGUCAAACUUGAGUGCAGAAGGGGAGAGUGGAAUUCCAUGUGUAGCGGUGAAAUGCGUAGAUAUAUGGAGGAACACCGGUGGCGAAAGCGGCUCUCUGGUCUGUAACUGACGCUGAGGCUCGAAAGCGUGGGGAGCGAACAGGAUUAGAUACCCUGGUAGUCCACGCCGUAAACGAUGAGUGCUAGGUGUUGGAUCCUUUCCGGGAUUCAGUGCCGCAGCUAACGCAUUAAGCACUCCGCCUGGGGAGUACGACCGCAAGGUUGAAACUCAAAGGAAUUGACGGGGGCCCGCACAAGCGGUGGAGCAUGUGGUUUAAUUCGAAGCAACGCGAAGAACCUUACCAGGUCUUGACAUCCCGAUGCUAUUUCUAGAGAUAGAAAGUUACUUCGGUACAUCGGUGACAGGUGGUGCAUGGUUGUCGUCAGCUCGUGUCGUGAGAUGUUGGGUUAAGUCCCGCAACGAGCGCAACCCCUAUUGUUAGUUGCCAUCAUUCAGCUGGGCACUCUAGCGAGACUGCCGGUAAUAAACCGGAGGAAGGUGGGGAUGACGUCAAAUCAUCAUGCCCCUUAUGACCUGGGCUACACACGUGCUACAAUGGUUGGUACAACGAGUUGCGAGUCGGUGACGGCAAGCUAAUCUCUUAAAGCCAAUCUCAGUUCGGAUUGUAGGCUGCAACUCGCCUACAUGAAGUCGGAAUCGCUAGUAAUCGCGGAUCAGCACGCCGCGGUGAAUACGUUCCCGGGCCUUGUACACACCGCCCGUCACACCACGAGAGUUUGUAACACCCGAAGUCGGUGAGGUAACCUUUCGGAGCCAGCCGCCUAAGGUGG
rnacentral:rRNA from 1 species